rnacentral:rRNA from 1 species
UACGUAGGGGGCGAGCGUUGUCCGGAUUCAUUGGGCGUAAAGAGCUCGGAGGCGGCUUGGCAAGUCGGAUGUGAAAACUCCAGGCUCAACCUUCAGAGGUCGACCGAAACCAUCUGGCUAGAGUCCGGGAGAGGAGAGUGGAAUUCCUGGUGUAGCGGUGAAAUGCGCAGAUAUCAGGAAGAACACCCGUGGCGAAAGCGGCUCUCUGGAACGGUACUGACGCUGAGACGCGAAAGCGUGGGGAGCGAACAGG